CCUACGGUGCGCAGCAGUAGGGAAUCUUCCACAAUGGGCGAAAGCCUGAUGGAGCAACGCCGCGUGGGUGAAGAAGGUCUUCGGAUCGUAAAACCCUGUCGUUAGAGAAGAAAGUGCGUGUGAGUAACUGUUCAAGUUUCGACGGUAUCUAACCAGAAAGCCACGGCUAACUACGUGCCAGCAGCCGCGGUAAUACGUAGGUGGCAAGCGUUAUCCGGAAUUAUUGGGCGUAAAGGGAACGCAGGCGGACGUUUAAGUCUGAUGUGAAAGCCUUCGGCUUAACCGGGGUAGUGCAUUGGAAACUGGGAGACUUGAGUGCAGAAGAGGAGAGUGGAACUCCAUGUGUAGCGGUGAAAUGCGGAGAUAUAUGGAAGAACACCAGUGGCGAAAGCGGCUCACUGGUCUGUAACUGACGCUGAGGUUCGAAAGCGUGGGUAGCAAACAGGAUUAGAUACCCCUGUAGUC
rnacentral:rRNA from 1 species